rnacentral:rRNA from 1 species
AACCUCCGCAAUGUGAGAAAUCGCGACGGGGGGAUCCCAAGUGCCAUUCUUAACGGGAUGGCUUUUCAUUAGUGUAAAGAGCUUUUGGAAUAAGGGCUGGGCAAGACCGGUGCCAGCCGCCGCGGUAACACCGGCAGCUCUAGUGGUAGCAGUUUUUAUUGGGCCUAAAGCGUCCGUAGCCGGUUUAAUAAGUCUCUGGUGAAAUCCUGUAGCUUAACUGUGGGAAUUGCUGGAGAUACUAUUAGACUUGAGACCGGGAGAGGUUAGAGGUACUCCCAGGGUAGAGGUGAAAUUCUGUAAUCCUGGGAGGACCGCCUGUUGCGAAGGCGUCUAACUGGAACGGUUCUGACGGUGAGGGACGAAAGUUGGGGGCGCGAACCGGAUUAGAUACCCGGGUAGUCCUAACUGUAAACGAUGCGGACUUGGUGUUGGGGUGGCUUUGAGCUGCUCCAGUGCCGAAGGGAAGCUGUUAAGUCCGCCGCCUGGGAAGUACGGUCGCAAGACUAAAACUUAAAGGAAUU